CCCGCCGCAGCGGCGGCGGCAGCAGCUGGUCUCGGUGUAAACAAGUCGCGGCGGCUGCGAACCCGGGCCGGGGGGACGGCGCCCGCUAGGAGCGCCCCCCACUCCUAGGGCAGGCCACCGGCGGACCGGGCCCCCGCGCGCCCAAGCGAGGCACUGAGCUCCCUCUGCUCCCCGUGGGCUGCUCCCCGCGUGGGGCCACUGCCCCCGGCCCCCGCCAUGGUGCGGAUUUCAAAACCCAAGACGUUUCAGGCCUACUUAGAUGAUUGUCACCGGAGGUAUAGCUGUGCCCAUUGCCGUGCUCACCUGGCCAACCACGACGACCUCAUCUCCAAGUCCUUCCAGGGCAGUCAGGGGCGUGCCUACCUCUUCAACUCCGUGGUGAAUGUGGGCUGCGGGCCAGCCGAGGAGCGUGUGCUGCUGACAGGCCUCCAUGCUGUUGCUGACAUCCACUGCGAGAACUGCAAGACCACUUUGGGCUGGAAAUAUGUAGAGUCUAUUAUUACCUCCAUUUUACAGAAGAAGAAACGGAGGCCCAGAGGUGCUAGGUAUCUUGCCUAUAGUCAUACAACUGACGCUUCAUAUCCUCUCCGUUGGAGCCAACAUUAGUACUAAAACAUGCCAUGAUCCAGUGAGUUCUACUCCAUGGUGAAAACUUGGCCCUGUCAUCUACCAGGAACAGGCCUUCGAGAGCAGCCAGAAGUACAAAGAGGGAAAGUACAUCAUUGAACUCAACCACAUGAUUAAGGACAAUGGCUGGGACUGACUGACCCCUGCUCCUGACACAUGUGGCUCCAGCCCGGCCUGGCCGCUGGGGGGCGCCACUGGCCUCCCUCCCUGGCCAAGGGCGCUCUAGCCCUUCGGAGCCCCUGCAGAGGAAGGACCUAUCUCCUGUACAUAUAUUUUAUUGCAUGCACUGUGACCUUGGGGGAGAAUCAGAAGGGGGACUGCACCCUUGCCCCUCCUGCGAUCUGGCUGGCUUGGAUCUCGUUUUUAAAUCCUUUCUACCCCGGCUGCCCUAUAGAUACGGCCUGAGUGCUGCUCUCUAGGCCCUAGUGCCUGUAAACUUCUCGUCCGACCCGACCCUCUUACCCCACGCGUGUCAGCACCCCUCAUUCUGUAGCGUUUGUAAAUAAUAAAACAAUGAAGUG